rnacentral:lncRNA from 12 species
CCUUGGUUGGGAAAUGAGGCCCCUUGCAAGUGCUCCGUGCUGCGGAAGCAUGAGCUCCCACCUUGUGACAGCACGAAGACAUCCCGGGGCUCCUGUCACCCACCCCCUCGCUUUCCAGAUGAUCAAAUAGAGAUUUAGGGAGUUGAGGUGACUCUUUUCAAGGUCACACAGAGAACCAGUGGCCCAGAAAGGCUCGGAAAGCAGCCUCCUAAGUUCUGGCAAGCCCAUCGGGCCGUCCUUCGCAGUGGUAAGAGGAAUGACAAGGGGACCUUGUCCUCAGCCACGCCCACUGACUGCACCUGACCUCUGUCGCCUUUUGGUGCUGCAGUAUUCAGCCACUCUCCACUUGGGAUACAGCUCCAAUAGAUCCGUUUUCUCCUUCACUGUUGGCCUUCCCCGCCUUGCAAACGAGCACCUAGCUUCCUGCCUUCUAAAGGAAUGAAUAGCCUACGUAAGUCCUGGCUUUAAUGCUUUUCCUUAGCCCACUGUUCUGUUCAUACGUGUCUCCCCAUAAAGAUCAGAGAGCCACUUGUCUUUGAUGUCCGAACAAAAUAAAGUUGGAGGCCAUCCUUAUGUUUCCCCA